rnacentral:rRNA from 1 species
UACGAAGGGGGCAAGCGUUGUUCGGAGUUACUGGGCGUAAAGGGUGUGUAGGCGGUUCUUUAAGUUUGCUGUGAAAUCUCCCGGCUUAACCGGGAGGGUGCGGUGAAUACUGAGGGACUAGAGUACGGGAGAGGAAAGUGGAAUUCCUGGUGUAGCGGUGAAAUGCGUAGAUAUCAGGAGGAACACCGGUGGUGUAGACGGCUUUCUGGACCGUAACUGACGCUGAGACACGAAAGCGUGGGUAGCAAACAGG